rnacentral:tRNA from 1 species
GUACCGGUGCCAGAGCGGUCUAAUGGCACGGCCUGCAAAGCCGUCGUUCGUGGGUUCGAAUCCCGCCCGGUACUC